GAUGAAGAACGUAGCGAAAUGCGAUACGUAACGUGAAUUGCAAAUUCAGUGAAUCAUCGAGUCUUUGAACGCACAUUGCGCCCCCUGGUAUUCCGGGGGGCAUGCCUGUCCGAGCGUCAUUGCUGCCCUCAAGCACGGCUUGUGUGUUGGGCCCCGUCCUCCGAUCCCGGGGGACGGGCCCGAAAGGCAGCGGCGGCACCGCGUCCGGUCCUCGAGCGUAUGGGGCUUUGUCACCCGCUCUGUAGGCCCGGCCGGCGCUUGCCGAUCAACCCAAAUUUUUAUCCAGGUUGACCUCGGAUCAGGUAGGGAUACCCGCUGAACUUAAGCAUAUCAAUAAGCGGAGGA
rnacentral:misc_RNA from 1 species